rnacentral:lncRNA from 1 species
UGUUACUCAUUCCGUGGGCAACUGUGUUAAGCGUGUCGUGGUCAUUGUCACCUCAGUGCUGUUCUUCAGGACUCCUGUUUCUCCUAUCAACUCCCUCGGUAACCUUGCUGCCUCCAUUUGCUUCUCUCUGCUUUUGACUGAUUGCCUUCCUCCAUCCUCAGUUAUCUCACCAUACCUGCUUUCCCUUGCGUGUGUAGGUACCGCGAUUGCACUUGCUGGAGUUUUCCUGUACUCACAACUGAAGAGACUGAAGCCCAAGCCAAAGACUGCUUGAAAGAGAUUGUAAUUACUGUAUCUCUUUCUCGUGUUUAGGGAGUCAAAUCAUGGCAGCACACCUUGAAAUUGUUGAUUUUAGUGUAUAAAUGUUUUUCUUUUGAAGCAAUACGAAUUCACUGUUAGGGUAAUUUGUGAUCUUACUUUUUUUGGAUCAAGACAUGUUUUGAAAUUUGUGUCUGCAGAAGAGCUGUAUCAUAUCUGUUCCCA